CUGGCCGACCGGUCUGGCAAGCCCGAGCCGGUCCUGCAGAGGCCUCCAGCUGCGGCUUUAGUGUGACCAAGUGUUGUGGGGGUCCCAGGGGCCGGUCUGACCGGUCUGGCGAGCCCGAGCCGGUCGUGCAGAGGGAGCCAGCUGCGGCUUUAGUGUGACCGAGUGCUGUGCGGGCCCGCACGGGCCGGUCUGAGCGGUCCGGCGACCGGGACCGGCUCCUUCAGCAUGCUCCAGCCACAGCUGCGGAGGUGGCCGAGUCGGGUGGGGGCACGCAGGGGCCGGGCUGACCGUUCCGGAGAGCCCGAGCCGGUCCUGCAGAGGCCUGCAGCCGCACCUGCAUGAACCGAGUCCUGUGGGGCACGCAGGGGCUGGGCCGACCGGUCUGGCAAGCCCGAGCCGGUCCUGCAGAGGCCUCCAGCUGCGGCUUUAGUGUGACCAAGUGUUGUGGGGGUCCCCAGGGGCCGGUCUGACCGGUCUGGCGAGCCCGAGCCGGUCGUGCAGAGGGAGCCAGCUGCGGCUUUAGUGUGACCGAGUGCUGUGCGGGCCCGCACGGGCCGGUCUGAGCGGUCCGGCGACCGGGACCGGCUCCUUCAGCAUGCUCCAGCCACAGCUGCGGAGGAGGCCGAGUCCGGUGGGGGCACGCAGGGGUCCGGGUGACCAGUCCGGCGAGCCUGAGCUGGUCCUGUACAGGCCACCAGCCGCACCUGCAGUGAGACCGAGUCCUGUGGGGCACACAGGGGCCAGGCCGACCAUUCCGGAGGGCCCGAGCCGGUCCUGCAGAGGCCACCAGCCGCACCUGCAGUGAGACCGAGUCCUGUGGGGCACACAGGGGCCGGGCCGACAGUUCCGGAGAGCCCGAGCCGGUCCUGCAGAGGGCGCCAGCUGCGGCUUUAGUGUGACCGAGUGCUGUGCGGGCCCGCAGGGGCCGGUCCGAGCGGUCCGGCGACCGGGACCGGCUCCUUCAGCAUGCUCCAGCCGCAGCUGCGGAGGAGGC
ensembl:lncRNA